GUUUCCUCCAAGUCAAUCUCAUGCUAAUGUUUUUCCAUUACAGCAUCGUAUUAACCAGAAGCUGCAUUUACCUGGACCAUACAUCAGCCCGAGCCUGUCUCCAGUGAAGAGUUGUGUCGUGCUGGAGGGACCAUUCAUCACACCUGCCCAGCUUCUGGAGGCUCUCCUGGGCUUUGGUGUCUUAGAUCUCUCAGCCUUUUGGAAAGGCUGCCUUGAAUUAUUCAACCUGCAGUACAGAUCUCUGGAGAACAUAGCCUCACAGCUACUUUAAUCACUAGAAAGGUUCGGAGUCAGUUAUAAUCAGCUGGAGUCAAUGUGGAAAUGCUCAUCUCUGGCUUGAAAAUAAGAUCAAAAGGAAGACCAAGGAGGAGAUAAAAUCUGAGAUGAGAAAUGGAUGUUGGUUUCCAGAAGUUCUUAGGUCUUUCUCCUAUUUCCAAAGGGGGUCACAGAUCUGAAGCCCCAGCCCCUGGGAACUCUGCUUCCCUUGAGGCACACUACUGUGGAUUUCUCUGACCUUUUCUUAUGACAUUGGGAAGCCAGUCACACCUCUGCCAAUUCAGGGACAAGUUGAGUGAGACGGGACCUCUCUCUGAUGGAGGUUUGGUGGACAGCUGUUAUCUUCUAAGCUUGUGUUAGAGCUGGGCAAAGAGGAAGCUGCUCAGGAUUGGAAGGUGGGAGAGAAGCAUCAGCCAUCACUCUCUGAGGUCGCCACAGUCAGAUGGAGUGACAGAUGAAGAGAUGCCUGGUGGGUCCCAGCUUGUCCUCGUUCUUCUCCCUUUGCCUCCAGCUCUUCUCCCUGGCUACCUACCCUGUUGGCCAAUGGCGGCUCAUGCUCAUCACCAGGCAUGUGGCUGCAGACACACGGAGGUGGGAGCCAUGCAGAGGCACCGGCUCUUCACAACCCUCUCUGCCAGCACCCGUUUCAGGGUCCUCCUUUGAUGUUGGGUGUGCUUGGCUUCUCCAAGUGACAGGUUAGUGCCUCCCCUGGGCCUCCAUCUGAUCUUCUGGACCUUUGCUUCCGCAGCUUCCCUCAAUUAUGCAAAUUCUAGGUCUGAUUCCUAGAAUAAAUACUGGAUCUCAAAGCACUCACAGGAUUCUGCUCCCCUGGCUGAACUCUGGUGGAAAUGAUGUCAUGUGACUUCGAAACUAGGCCUUAAGAGUCCUUGCAGUUUUCCCUGUCCUGAGGCCACAUCAUGCUGUGAAAAAACCCAACUUAGCAGAGGCUGAGAAGUUACACGGAGGAGAAUGGAAGAGCCCUGGUCAAUACACACAACUGUGAAAAAAAUAACUCACUGUAGACAUUUUUUUUAGGCUGAGAAAAUAUUUUUCUAUUAAUUGGUUGAUCUGUCAUUAUAUUCCAUUGCAUAGUCAGUGAUAAUAUACUAAGUAAAGUUUAGUGUAACCAUAUUAGAAUAAUCUAAAUUUGAAGAUAUUUAUUAGCUUUAUUAACUUAUACAAAAUAAAAUUCACUGCUUUUUUAUCGUGGUAAAA